UGACAUCCAAUUUAUGGGUCUCUGCUGU
rnacentral:piRNA from 1 species